ensembl:lncRNA
CGUUUCUACCAGAAGCUAUUAUUGGUUCAGGCCAGGCCUGCCCAACCUGUUUGUUUCUCAUUCGGAGGAAUCCAUCUCCUUCGGGUGUCUAGUUGUUUCUUAACAUCCCACCUGGUUAAAGCGCGACGGAUGGAGUGAGACAGAGAGGUGAGAGCAGAGUCGGCAUUGUGUGGAGACGGCCUCUUCACUGUUUAUUGAGACGCUGUCAGUAGAAAUAUUAGGUCAGACAGUUUGGACAAGGUGUCGAGGCAUCUGUCGGAGGAUAAGGUCUAUUUUUAAAGGAGCAACGUCAUAGCCUUCAAAUAAGGAAGCAGCCUGCAGAGCUGCUGAGGAGUUUCUACAACAUUUUACGGUCCGUGUUACUAAUCAACAAGUUUGUCUUUCUUGUCUUAGAUAUCUUUGAUGUCUCCCAAAAUACUGCCAUCUUUUUCAUGUGAAGCAGUGACACGUUCCAUCUUUUAAUGUAAAAAAGCUCUAUUUUUAAAUCUGAAGGAAGCAGAGCCACAAGGACUCUUGUACGUUUACAUCUAAUCUAAUUUACUUAUGUUGUAUGACAAAUAAAGUUACAACUCCUUACAGAUAAACUUUUGGAAAAAAGAAGACUGAGUGGAGGCAAAAAUGGAGACGAGGAGGAAAGGAGAGAUGGGGAAGACGGGGAAGGUUUCACGGAUCUUUUUGCUGCUGCUGGUUCUGCUCAAAAUAACCACACCCUCCUCUGCUCAAAACAGCACCACUGCUUCAGCACCGAACCCUGCUGCUCUCAGUUAUCGCACACGUCCAGCUAACCUCACAGUGGCUGUGGGAGAAUCUGCAGAGUUUCGCUGUGGAGUGCCUAAGUCUUCUCCAAACAUCACAUUCACCAUCUAUAGGAGUCACGGCAACUACAGUCUCAUCUGUCCUUCUGGCCACCUAGAAGAUAUCCCCCAGGCUCUCUAUGGAAGUUGUGAUAUGACGGACGAAGAGUCAGUGGCUGUGUGGACCCUCAAGGGAACUUCAUUCUCUGACAAUGGAGCAAGCUUUAUUUGUCAGCAGUCAAACAAUCCCGAUGCAGCUACUGCCACCCUACACGUUUAUGAUGACGGCACCAGCUAUGCAACUCUCAUUGGCUGUGUCAUUGGGGGCUUCUUCGGCAUGCUGUUGGUGGCUGGUUUAUCAUUUCUAAUGCUGCGCAGAUCUGAGACCCUCCAGAAGUGCUUUUGUGAGUACACUGCUUGGGUUCACAAAUGUAAAAAAUGCACAAUUUCAUUACAGUUGGAAAAAAUUGAUAGGUUGUGUGAUGUCCUUGUGUUUUCAGGGGGGGGAGAUACGGAAGAUGAUUUGAACACAAUGGUAACCAAGGAGUAAAAGGACACAGACAGCAGGGGGAGACUGUGUUGUUGCUGAUGUUGCUUUGUUAAACAUAUCCAGGGUUUGGCUCCAUUCACCUUCUAACUGGGAAUAGAAAAGGAAAUUAGCAGGUUUCUAUUUUAAAGUCAUUUCACUGAUCUAAGUGAGGUGAAAACUGGAUGGAACCUAAAUCUAAUCUAAGGAGGGAUCCAGUCUGACCCCCAACACAUUCCUUCCUCCUUCUGCCCUCAAGACCCUACACACAUUACUCAUAGCCUCAAGUUGUAUAAUAUAUCAAGCACUACAAAUAAUUCACAGAAAAAACUUAAGUCAGGUCUCUCUCCCCACUUAUAUCAAUAUGCACUGCCUUUAUUGUAUAUAAAUGAAAUGUAAAAUUAUUGGUGUUAGUGAAUUGUUUAAAUGCUCAUUAGUUUUUGGCCACAUGUAGUAAACAAGUUAAUAAUGUCCUGCUGCAGCCGGAGCACCAAUAAGAUCACAGAGGUCAUGUCCUUGGUAUUUUUUUCUGGGUCUUUAAUAUCUUAAUAUACAUAAUGUGGUAAUAAUCAUAAUAACUUAUAACAUCUAUCAUGCCAUUGAAAUAAGCAGUUAUAUAUAUUUUAAAAUGGCAUAUAUAUAUAGUGAAUUAAACUUUAGUUAAUACCAACAAACUAUUGAAGGUCAAACACUUACUGAUGGAGGUCCCAGUUGCGCUUGUUUAGGCAUGUUAGUCAGCUAUACUGUCACAGCUUGUCCACUUGAGGGAAGCACUUACUCCACAGAUAAUAAGCAGGACAGUUGUCUUAACACAACAGAGACAAAUAUUCACUGGAUUAAAAAAAUUUGUUUUUGUCAACUAACUAAAUUAAAAACGAAAAUAUUGCUAUUCCUUUAUUUGGGAUGAGGUGAGGUAGAUGUCAUUAUGUUGUCAGGCUGAGUGUUUGUACAGAUUUGCAUUGAGAAGUAAAUUGUCCUGAUGUGGUUUGAUGUUGUUGUACAGUCAUGGUCUUGCAUAAAGGCAAAGUAAAGUAGCUUUUAUUUCAACUGUUACCAAAGGUAAACUCAGGGAUGUUUGUGUUUUCAUGCUGGUACUGAUAUUUGUGCGCUCCAUUCCGUCCUUAAAUUUCGUGGUAUAUUUCUUAGUUAUGAUGAUGUACUUUGCUCUUGUUUAUUGUUCAUUCUUAUUGUUGAGACUUGCAAAUCAGAGCUUGCUGUCAGUGUAUGGCCUUUGAAAAAAACAUUAAAGUUACAUGAUGUCAAAAAGAGUGUGCUUACAA